GGAGAUAUGACUCAGUGGUUAAGAGCACUGGCUCUUCUUCCAGAGGACCUGGGUUCAAUCCCCAGCACCCCCA
rnacentral:tRNA from 1 species